ensembl:lncRNA uncharacterized LOC103662057
CCCCCCCCGCCCAAGCUUCCAGAGGGCCUGGCCAGCCCACUGAUCACAGUGACUGGCUUGGGCAAAUGCAUGAGCCAGGCUAGGUCAAACAACAUCAGUCUUGGAUCUGUGCUCUAAGUAACAGGAAGCAGACUUUUCCUUUUCCCUGGGGUUGCUAUGCUGGCCAGCCGGAGCCUUGGGUGCUGGAGGGCAUCUUUAUACCACAUGUGGAGAGCCUGCCUGAGAACCAAACCAAAAGAUGGAUGCAGAACGGAGAGAAGGAAAGGGAUGUGUUUCUGACAUCACAGUUCAGGCCUGCGGAUCCAGCCAUCCCCAAAGCUGGGACCUCUUCAGGACUUGUUUUAGGGGCCAAUAAACCACCUCCCUUGCUUAAACCAGUUGCACUUGGGUUUCGGUUUCUUGCAAAUCAAGUUGUCAUCUGUGCUUCGACCCAGCACUCAGAUGCACCACCCCCACCCCUCCAGGGGCUUUCCGAGAGACCCGGAUAUUGGGGUUGGCCCGCAACUGCACUGCGCCUGUGUCUGCCCCCCACCCUCCAGACCUAGGGAGGAAGCAAACACCAAGCCCCUGGUUCUGGGGCUCCAGGGAAGGCUCAGUUUGAGAAGCACUGCCCGCUCCGUCCAGUCCCUGGGCGGUUACGGAGAUGGCAACCCGAACAAAGCUUUCGAGCAGAGUCCUGGCAUCCUGGCGUGGUUGGGCCCUGCGUGUUUGGCUACUGCUCUCUGUCUCUGGUGCCUCAGAGGUCUCCCAGCCCUCUCUGUUCCAGCCUCAGUCUUCUGUGGUGAGUGGACAAGGCAAUCCACAGAUCUGGUGUGUGGUGCAGGGCAGCCCUGCCACGGCUCAUGUCUUGUCUUGGUACCAGCAGCUGACAGAGAAGGGAUUCCCCCAACCUAUGGUUUGGGUGUGAAUCCUCGUUUCCUGGCAGAGAUGGACCCAGCCAAGAAUGCCGCACUCCUUACCGUGGGCAAUGCCAGCCCAGCUGAUGAGGGCACCUACUACUGUGCCCUGUGGUUUUCAGGCCAGUAUGUCUUUGGAGAAGGUACCCGUCUGCUCUAUCAGGCUAAGAUGCAAUCCCCAGCUUUCCAGCCACCUGAGCUGAGCCUGUUCGUCCCAGCCUCUGGCCCUCCCUUCCAUGUACUUUGUGUGGCCCUAGGACACAACCCUGACCCUCUGAGGGUCUCCUGGGUCCUGAAUGGCCAGUAUCAGGAGGAAGAGGACUCCACUGGAGGAGCUGGGGAUCCUGUGGUCAGCUGGCUGCAGCUGAGUCAGGAGGUGGCAGGAAUGUCUGUGACUUGCCGAGGCUUGCACCAGACUGGAGUCUCAGAAGUUGUGCUGCCCCUGCCCUGCAGCCAAGGGUGUAGAAGAAGGCUAGAACCGGAGAACUGGAAUGAGACUCAUGAGAAGAGUGGACACACUCAUCUAGGUAUGGACCCCCAGACACUGACCCGGGACCUGGACCCCCUAGGUGGCAAAGCCAUGACUUUUCACCAUCAACGACCCACUUAGCAAGCAUUUAUGGAGUAUUAAGUAUUUCCCAGGGCAGAGAGAUGACUGCCAACAGUCUGAACAUUAGUAAGUCUAGAAGGGUAGGUCAGAUACUGAACCAAUGUUUAAAAUGCAAGAAAAACUGCUGUAAGUGUUUUAGGACAGGAACACGGGAUAUUCAGGAGCGCAGAGAGCAGAGGGGCUCUCCUGCAGGAGGGUCUGAGAAGCUCCCAGGGACGAUGCAGAGUCAGAACUGAGCCCUCAGAUUCUGGCUGGAAAGGGUGUAGACCCAGUCACGAGCAGCCGGGUCUAGUCCCAGUUCUACCCUCAACUCUCUGUGGCCCGUUGGGUGAGUCUUUCACCUUCUCUUGGCCUCAGAUCCACCCACUGAUCUACCAUCCCCAGUCCAAACCGUCUUUGCCCUUACAGAUCUUAAGUCUGAGUUUUUUAUGUGUAAAAAUGGGGAGUAAUACCACCUCAGGGAGGAUCAAGUGAGCCAGAGAGAGCUCUUCAGAAGGAGGCAGUGGCGGGGAGAAAACCAUGACGAUGCAGUGUCAGAAGGCUGGGCAGGUCUGACUUUUGCCCUGUGCCCAUUUCCCUCGCAGUGGAGUUGGAACAGACCCUCACUGCUGCCGCCUACUGCUACCUGGGACUGCUGGGUGCAGCUCUGAUCUAUGGCCUGAUUUUGGCUGCCCUCUGGAGGAUUCGCUGCCAUUGGGCCCACCCUAUGGAGCCACUCACCCGAGAUGGUCAAGGAGCAGCCCUUGGUUUCAGGAUGCAGGUGGGCAGAAAGGGCCCUCCUGCCAGGGCCCCAGUGCGCAAGGGGCAGAGCCACAAUGGAUUCCACAUCCUCCGAGGGGCUGCCCGUGCACCAGACCCUCCCUCCUUGCUCCAGCCAGCUUCCUCCUAGUCCGCUGCCUUUCAUUAUCUCGCGGGUCCCCCUUUUCCUCCCAGACUGUCCAAAUUUCUUCCUAAAUACAGGGAAUUUGAGAAGCUACUGCUGUGCUGUUGGUUG